ACCCAUAGUAUUUUUCUAAAUUAUAAAAAUACUUUUUGGAUAAUAUUUUCUACUUGCCAAACACUAGAAAAUAAGUAAGAAAAGUCACUUAUUUUUAGAGAUAACAUCUUACAUGAAAAAGAUUUUCCUUCGUAUGAAGCACACUAAGCAAGAUUUUAUACUGGAAACCAGGGACGCUCACUGAAAACAACGGAAAUUGCUUAUCGCCAUAUAUUUUCUAUUAGAGAAUCGUGAACACAACCAGGUAUGCAAAAAUCCCCACCUAGAAAGGCGGAGGCUGGCUUGUCUCAUUUUCCUUCUCUCACACAGGCUAACAAAAUAUUACCCAAAUUUAUGAAAAGUUUUUCCUUUUAGUAUUAGCUUUUCCUCAAUCACUCCGCCGUCCUGGUAAUGAAGAAAGUGCCUGUAGACUCUAAGAAAGUGCCUGUAGAUUCUUUGUCCAAAUCCUCCCUCAGCGCCAACGUCAAAAGAGAGUUCAACUCACAAAUUUCAAGAGGAAAAGAAAAGUUCUGCAUAGAUGACCUUCCCUCCAGGAAUUGAUAGUGCUAAGCUGAAUUAUCCACGUACUCCAAUCAAU